rnacentral:miRNA from 1 species
AGUAAACAUCCAAAGAUAUACAGAUAUGUGUAUGUGUGUGUGUAUAUAUAUAUACACACACACAUACACAUAUCUGUAUGUGUGCAUGUU